rnacentral:rRNA from 1 species
GGUCAAGCGAACAAGUGCAUGUGGUGGAUGCCUUGGCGAUCACAGGCGAUGAAGGACGCGGUAGCCUGCGAAAAGCCCCGGGGAGCUGGCAAACAAGCUUUGAUCCGGGGAUGUCCGAAUGGGGAAACCCACUCCGUAUGGAGUAUCCAUGACUGAAUACAUAGGUCAUGUGAAGCGAACGCGGUGAACUGAAACAUCUAAGUAACCGCAGGAAAAGAAAUCAACCGAGAUUCCCAAAGUAGUGGCGAGCGAAAUGGGAUGAGCCUUGUACUCUUUAUUUGUAUUGUUAGCCGAACGCUCUGGAAAGUGCGGCCAUAGCAGGUGAUAGCCCUGUAGGCGAAAACAGUAUGAAAGAACUAGGUGUACGACAAGUAGGGCGGGACACGUGAAAUCCUGUCUGAAGAUGGGGGGACCAUCCUCCAAGGCUAAAUACUCGUGAUCGACCGAUAGUGAACCAGUACCGUGAGGGAAAGGCGAAAAGAACCCCGGGAGGGGAGUGAAAUAGAUCCUGAAACCGCAUGCAUACAAACAGUCGGAGCCUCGUAAGGGGUGACGGCGUACCUUUUGUAUAAUGGGUCAGCGACUUACGUUCAGUAGCAAGCUUAACCGUAUAGGGCAGGCGUAGCGAAAGCGAGUCCGAAUAGGGCGUUCAGUUGCUGGGCGUAGACCCGAAACCAGGUGAUCUAUCCAUGGCCAGGAUGAAGGUGCGGUAACACGUACUGGAGGUCCGAACCCACUAACGUUGAAAAGUUAGGGGAUGAGCUGUGGAUAGGGGUGAAAGGCUAAACAAACCUGGAAAUAGCUGGUUCUCUCCGAAAACUAUUUAGGUAGUGCCUCGUGUCUCACCUUCGGGGGUAGAGCACUGUCAUGGUUGGGGGGUCUAUUGCAGAUUACCCCGCCAUAGCAAACUCCGAAUACCGAAGAGUGCAAUCACGGGAGACAGACAUCGGGUGCUAACGUCCGGUGUCAAGAGGGAAACAACCCAGACCGCCAGCUAAGGUCCCCAAAUAUGGCUAAGUGGGAAACGAAGUGGGAAGGCUAAAACAGUCAGGAGGUUGGCUUAGAAGCAGCCACCCUUUAAAGAAAGCGUAAUAGCUCACUGAUCGAGUCGUCCUGCGCGGAAGAUGUAACGGGGCUAAGCCAUAUACCGAAGCUGCGGAUGCGUGCUUGCACGCAUGGUAGGAGAGCGUUCCGUAAGCCUGCGAAGGUGCCUUGUAAAGGGUGCUGGAGGUAUCGGAAGUGCGAAUGCUGACAUGAGUAGCGAUAAAGGGGGUGAAAGGCCCCCUCGCCGUAAGCCCAAGGUUUCCUACGCAACGUUCAUCGGCGUAGGGUGAGUCGGCCCCUAAGGCGAGGCAGAAAUGCGUAGCUGAUGGGAAGCAGGUCAAUAUUCCUGCACCAUUGUUAGAUGCGAUGGGGGGACGGAUCGCGGAAGGUUGUCCGGGUGUUGGACGUCCCGGUCGCUGCAUUGGAGAAGGCGCUUAGGCAAAUCCGGGCGCAGGAUUCAAGGGUGUGGCGCGAGCGACUUCGGUCGCGAAGCAAUUGGAAGUGGUUCCAAGAAAAGCCUCUAAGCUUCAGUCUAACGAUGACCGUACCGCAAACCGACACAGGUGGGCGAGAUGAGUAUUCUAAGGCGCUUGAGAGAACUCGGGAGAAGGAACUCGGCAAAUUGGUACCGUAACUUCGGGAUAAGGUACGCCCUUGUAGCUUGACCAGCCUGCGCUGGAAGGGUGAAGGGGUUGCAAUAAACUGGUGGCUGCGACUGUUUAAUAAAAACACAGCACUCUGCAAACACGAAAGUGGACGUAUAGGGUGUGACGCCUGCCCGGUGCCGGAAGAUUAAAUGAUGGGGUGCAAGCUCUUGAUUGAAGUCCCGGUAAACGGCGGCCGUAACUAUAACGGUCCUAAGGUAGCGAAAUUCCUUGUCGGGUAAGUUCCGACCUGCACGAAUGGCGUAACGAUGGCCACACUGUCUCCUCCCGAGACUCAGCGAAGUUGAAGUGUUUGUGAUGAUGCAAUCUACCCGCGGCUAGACGGAGAGACCCCAUGAACCUUUACUGUAGCUUUGCAUUGGACUUUGAACCGAUCUGUGUAGGAUAGGUGGGAGGCUAUGAAACCGGAACGCUAGUUUCGGUGGAGCCGUCCUUGAAAUACCACCCUGGUUUGUUUGAGGUUCUAACCUUGGUCCGUGAUCCGGAUCGGGGACAGUGCAUGGUAGGCAGUUUGACUGGGGCGGUCUCCUCCCAAAGGGUAACGGAGGAGUACGAAGGUACGCUAGGUACGGUCGGAAAUCGUGCUGAUAGUGCAAUGGCAUAAGCGUGCUUAACUGCGAGACCGACAAGUCGAGCAGGUGCGAAAGCAGGUCAUAGUGAUCCGGUGGUUCUGUAUGGAAGGGCCAUCGCUCAACGGAUAAAAGGUACUCUGGGGAUAACAGGCUGAUACCGCCCAAGAGUUCAUAUCGACGGCGGUGUUUGGCACCUCGAUGUCGGCUCAUCUCAUCCUGGGGCUGUAGCCGGUCCCAAGGGUAUGGCUGUUCGCCAUUUAAAGAGGUACGUGAGCUGGGUUUAAAACGUCGUGAGACAGUUUGGUCCCUAUCUGCCGUGGGCGUUGGAUAUUUGAAGGGGGCUGCUCCUAGUACGAGAGGACCGGAGUGGACGAACCUCUGGUGUACCGGUUGUGACGCCAGUCGCAUCGCCGGGUAGCUAUGUUCGGAAGAGAUAACCGCUGAAAGCAUCUAAGCGGGAAACUCGCCUUAAGAUGAGAUAUCCCUGGAGGCUUGACCUCCUUGAAGGGUCGUUCGAGACCAGGACGUUGAUAGGUCGGGUGUGUAAGCGCAGUAAUGCGUUCAGCUAACCGAUACUAAUUGCCCGUAAGGCUUGAUCCU